UAAAUACUCCCUCCGUCCGAAAAUACUUGUCAUCAAAAUGGAUAAAAAGAGAUGUAUCUAAAACUAAAAUAUGUCUAGAUACAUUUCCUUUUAUCCAUUUUGAUGACAAGUAUUUCUGGACGGAGGGAGUAUUUG
rnacentral:pre_miRNA from 1 species